CAAGCUAAAGCUUAUAGAGCGUUUUAUUUACAUUAAAAGGAGUACUAUUAUUAUAGUAUAGUUUGA
rnacentral:tRNA from 1 species